UGGGGAAUAUUGCACAAUGGGGGAAACCCUGAUGCAGCGACGCCGCGUGACUGAAGAAGUACUUCGGUAUGUAAAGGUCUAUCAGCAGGGAAGAGAAUGACGGUACCUGACUAAGAAGCCCCGGCUAACUACGUGCCAGCAGCCGCGGUAAUACGUAGGGGGCAAGCGUUAUCCGGAUUUACUGGGUGUAAAGGGAGCGUAGGCGGCCAGACAAGUCAGAAGUGAAAGCCCGGGGCUCAACCGCGGGACUGCUUUUGAAACUGCCAGGCUGGAGUGCAGGAGAGGUAAGUGGAAUUCCUAGUGUAGCGGUGAAAUGCGUAGAUAUUAGGAGGAACACCAGUGGCGAAGGCGGCUUACUGGACUGUAACUGACGCUGAGGCUCGAAAGCGUGGGGAGCAAACA
rnacentral:rRNA from 1 species